GCAGGUGUGGCGAAAUUGGUAGACGCGCCAGACUUAGGAUCUGGUCCCGCGAGGGGUGGGGGUUCGAGUCCCUCCACCUGCA
rnacentral:tRNA from 2 species